rnacentral:lncRNA from 1 species
GAGGAGAAGAAACAGAGAGAAACAUACAGCAGCAUAGGAAAGGCGUGAUUCAAGCAAGCAGAAUUUCCUAAAAUUGGACCAGCAAAUCCGAUCAAGGAGCUAGAGUAGCAGCUAGUAAAUUCGGCUAAUUGGGAGAAGGGAAAUCGGACGACUUGAAGAGCUUUGCCUUCCAAGAAUCAGUUUGUAAUUCAUGUUCUCUUCAAUGGUUUCGUGUUCUGUUUUACUAGCUAUGAGUGGCUAGUUUAUUUACGC